GAUGAAGAACGCAGCGAAAUGCGAUACGUAAUGUGAAUUGCAGAAUUCAGUGAAUCAUCGAGUCUUUGAACGCACAUUGCGCCCCCUGGUAUUCCGGGGGGCAUGCCUGUCCGAGCGUCAUUGCUGCCCUCAAGCACGGCUUGUGUGUUGGGCCUCCGUCCUCCUCCCGGGGGACGGGCCCGAAAGGCAGCGGCGGCACGGCGUCCGGUCCUCGAGCGUAUGGGGCUUCGUCACCCGCUCUUGUAGGCCCGGCCGGCGCUUGCCGACACAUCAAUCUUUUUUCCAGGUUGACCUCGGAUCAGGUAGGGAUACCCGCUGAACUUAAGCAUAUCAAUAAGCGGAGGA
rnacentral:misc_RNA from 1 species